GACGGAGGAUGCAAGUGUUAUCCGGAAUCACUGGGCGUAAAGCGUCUGUAGGUGGUUCGAAAAGUCCACUGUUAAAAAUUGAGGCUUAACUUCAAAGAUGCCGUGGAAACUUUCAAACUAGAGUAUGGUAGGGGUAGAGGGAAUUUCCGAGUGGAGCGGUGAAAUGCGUAGAUAUUGGAAAGACCACCGAUGGCGAAGGCACUCUACUGGGCCAUUACUGACACUGAGGCGCGAAAGCGUGGGGAGCAAACAGG
rnacentral:rRNA from 1 species